rnacentral:rRNA from 1 species
AUGCAAGUCGAGCGAAGCUUUUCAGUAGUUUACUACAGAAAAUGACUGAGCGGCGAACGGGUGAGUAACGCGUGAGCAAUCUACCUUAGUUACAGGGAUAGCCCGAGGAAACUCGGAUUAAUACCUGAUAUUCUUUACAUUUCGCAUGAAAUUAAAAGGAAAGGUCAGCCGAACUAAGAUGAGCUCGCGUUCUAUCAGCUAGUUGGUGAGGUAAAAGCUCACCAAGGCAACGACGGAUAGCUGGUCUGAGAGGACGAUCAGCCACACUGGGACUGAGACACGGCCCAGACUCCUACGGGAGGCUGCAGCAGGGAAUAUUGCGCAAUGAGCGAAAGCUUGACGCAGCGACACCGCGUGUGGGAUGACGGAUCUAGGUUUGUAAACCACUUUCAGGAGGGAAGAAAAUGACGGUACCUCCACAAGAAGCCCCGGCCAACUACGUGCCAGCAGCCGCGGUAAUACGUAGGGGGCGAGCGUUGUCCGGAUUUAUUGGGCGUAAAGAGCUCGUAGGCGGUUCAACAAGUCGGUCGUAAAAGUUCAGGGCUCAACCCUGAAAUGUCGAUCGAUACUGUCGUGACUAGGAUACGGUAGAGGUGAGUGGAAUUCCGAGUGUAGCGGUGAAAUGCGUAGAUAUUCGGAGGAACACCAAUUGCGAAGGCAGCUCACUGGGCCGCUAUCGACGCUGAGGAGCGAAAGCUAGGGGAGCAAACAGGAUUAGAUACCCUGGUAGUCCUAGCUGUAAACGAUGGAUACUAGACGUAGGAACUGGAUUGACGGUUUCUGUGUCGUAGCUAACGCGUUAAGUAUCCCGCCUGGGGAGUACGGUCGCAAGACUAAAACUCAAAGGAAUUGACGGGACCCCGCACAAGCGGCGGAGCAUGCGGCUUAUUUCGAUGAUACUCGUAGAACCUUACCUGGACUUGACAUAUAGGGUCUAGCUAUAGAGAUAUAGUGUGCAUUAGCGCCCUAUACAGGUGUGCAUGCUGUCGUCAGCUCGUGUCGUGAGAUGUGGGUAGUCCCGCACGAGCGCACCCUGUCUAUGUGCCAGCAUUAGUGGGGACUCAU